rnacentral:misc_RNA from 1 species
GUUUAAUAUUAUGAUUGCACUUAUAAAAUGCACUUUACAAUCAUGUUUAGAUAAGUUGUGUGUUAAAAUGCAGACAAGCGGGUCCUGGAGAGAACCCAAUGAGUUAGAAUAACCCAGUUCAUGUCCGCAUGGAGGUUCACAUGGAGAAAAGGUGGAGAAUUUCGGAGUGCACAAUGCAAAACAUCUGGUGGUUUACCAAAUGUGCCAGCACAUCCUUUUAUUCAUUUAAUGAUCCUUCCGCAGGUUCACCUACGGAAA